rnacentral:lncRNA from 12 species
CUAGAGCUGGUCAAACAGGCUUUGACUGUCAGUAGAAGUAGCCGGAUGCUCCCACCUCUGCUCUGUUUGCAGGUUCCAAGGAGUACAAGGAAAUGCUCCAGGCUAAAACCAUGACAACACUAACAGUAGUCCCAGCACAUACCUUCCAGAUGAUUUUAUGGGAGCCAGCACUUCAUGAAUAACCUACAGUCAGAAAAUGAGAUCUCUUCCAAGAAAAGCAGAAUGCUGCCUUUCUUUUCCAAUUUCUCUGUUCU